rnacentral:rRNA from 1 species
GAUGAACGCUGGCGGCGUGCCUAAUACAUGCAAGUCGAGCGAACAGAUAAGGAGCUUGCUCCUUUGACGUUAGCGGCGGACGGGUGAGUAACACGUGGGUAACCUACCUAUAAGACUGGAAUAACUCCGGGAAACCGGGGCUAAUGCCGGAUAACAUUUAGAACCGCAUGGUUCUAAAGUGAAAGAUGGUUUUGCUAUCACUUAUAGAUGGACCCGCCCCGUAUUAGCUAGUUGGUAAGGUAACGGCUUACCAAGGCAACGAUACGUAGCCGACCUGAGAGGGUGAUCGGCCACACUGGAACUGAGACACGGUCCAGACUCCUACGGGAGGCAGCAGUAGGGAAUCUUCCGCAAAGGGCGAAAGCCUGACGGAGCAACGCCGCGUGAGUGAUGAAGGUCUUCGGAUCGUAAAACUCUGUUAUUAGGGAAGAACAAAUGUGUAAGUAACUGUGCACGUCUUGACGGUACCUAAUCAGAAAGCCACGGCUAACUACGUG